UGGUAGUGUAUUGGACAACCAUGGCUUUUACGGGUAACGGAGGAUUAGGGUUCGAUUCCGGAGAGGGAGCCUGAGAAACGGCUACCACAUCUAAGGAAGGCAGCAGGCGCGUAAAUUACCCAAUCCUGAUUCAGGGAGGUAGUGACAAGAAAUAACGGGCCGGAGCCUAUGUUCCGGGACUGCAAUGAGCCGAAUUUAAACCCCUUUGCGAGGAUCAAUUGGAGGGCAAGUCUGGUGCCAGCAGCCGCGGUAAUUCCAGCUCCAAUAGCGUAUAUUAAAGUUGUUGCAGUUAAAAAGCUCGUAGUUGGACCUCUGGGAGGGCGCCAAUGUCCGCCGUGUGCGUGCGCAGCGGGGCCCUUCCAUCCUUCUGUUAACGAUCCUCGGUAUUCGCUUACUGGUUUCGGGCUCAGAUAUUUUACCUUGAGAAAAUUAGAGUGUUUCAGGCAGGCUUGCGCCGGAAUACAUUAGCAUGGAAUAAUAGAAUAGGACUUUUGUCUCCUUUGUUGGUUUGAGGGACCGAAGUAAUGAUUAAUAGGGACAGUUGGGGGCAUUAGUAUCUAAUUGUCGGAGGUGAAAUUCUCGGAUUUGUUAAAGACUAACUUAUGCGAAAGCAUUUGCCCAAGGA
rnacentral:rRNA from 1 species